rnacentral:rRNA from 1 species
AGAGUUUGAUCAUGGCUCAGAAUCAACGCUGGCGGCGUGCCUAACACAUGCAAGUCGAACGAGAAAGUGGAGCAAUCCAUGAGUACAGUGGCGACCGGGUGAGUAACACGUGACCAACCUACCUCCGAGUGGGGGAUAACUCCGGGAAACCGGAGCUAAUACCGCAUAACAUCUUCGUGGCGCAGGUCGUGAAGAUCAAAGGAGCAAUUCGCUUGAAGAGGGGGUCGCGGCUGAUUAGCUAGUUGGCGGGGUAACGGCCCACCAAGGCAAAGAUCGGUAUCCGGCCUGAGAGGGCGCACGGACACACUGGAACUGAAACACGGUCCAGACUCCUACGGGAGGCAGCAGUGGGGAAUUUUGACAAUGGGCGCAAGCCUGAUCGAGUGACGCCGCGUGUGGGACGACGCCUUUCGGGGUGUAAACCACUUUUCUUGGGGACGAGAACGGACGGUACCCGAGGAAGAAGCCUCGGCUAACUACGUGCCAGCAGCCGCGGUAAUAC